GUUGUAAUGGAUGCUGUGAAUAAGCCUCGGAAUGUUACCUAUAAAGGGCUCACUGACCUAGUGACCGACACAGAUAAAAGUAGUGAAGUUGCUAUCCUUGAAGUAGUGAGGAAGAAUUUUCCAGAUCAUCUAAUUCUUGGGGAGGAAGGAGGAAUUAUUGGGGAUUCGUCAUCUGAUUAUCUUUGGUGCAUUGAUCCUUUAGAUGGAACAACAAACUUUGCGCAUGGCUAUCCUAGCUUUGCGGUCUCUGUGGGUGUUCUUUUCAGAGGGAAGCCAGCUGCAGCUACCGUGGUUGAGUUUGUUGGUGGCCCUAUGUGUUGGAAUACUCGCAUAUUUUCUGCAGCUGCAGGCAAAGGAGCCUUUGCUAAUGGUGAGAAGAUUCAUGUCAGUGGAACUGACAAGGUGGAACAAUCUCUUCUAGUGACUGGAUUUGGAUAUGAUCAUGAUGAUCCAUGGGCAACCAAUAUGGAAUUGUUCAAGGACUUUACUGAUGUCAGCCGGGGUGUGAGAAGGCUUGGUGCUGCCGCAGUGGACAUGUGUCAUGUUGCUUUGGGGAUUGCAGAAGCAUAUUGGGAAUAUCGCUUAAAGCCAUGGGACAUGGCUGCAGGAGUUCUGAUAGUUGAAGAGGCUGGAGGGACAGUUUCAUGUAUGGAUGGUGGAAAGUUUUCAGUAUUUGAUAGAUCUGUCUUGGUAUCCAAUGGUUUGCUUCAUGCAAAGCUCCUUGAGAAAAUUGGUCCAGCAACAGAGAAUUUGAAGGGCAAAGGGAUUGAUUUCUCAGUGUGGUUCAAGCCAGAAAAUUACCAUACAGAGGUUUGAUACGUCCAUUUUGUUCUUUAGAAUGCCCUGCUUGAAAGAUUCUCUGCACUCAGAUUUUGAUUAGAAUCAGAUGCUCGUUAAAGAAGUCUUAGCAUACGGCAAGCUGCUGCUGAGGAAUAUGGCAUCUUUGAAACCAGAUUUUAUUUCCUUAUUGUCCAAAUCCCAUCCUUAUCUAAUAUAUUCUCCAUUAAUUUUCAAAAACUAAUGUAUAUAUUAUGAACACAUGUGAUAAGUAGUACCAAUCAACAAUUUUGACCGUCAUCUAAAUUCACAGAUAUAAUUUCCCAAGAUGUACCAUUGUCAGCAAAGCUUGUAUAAUUUCCCACUUGCCAAACA